rnacentral:lncRNA from 1 species
GAAAUCCAGUGAUUAAGCUCUGCCUUGAUCAGAGGCACCUGCUUGGGCAUGGAUGUGUGCAUUCAUGAGCUCAGGUUCUCGGUGCUCGCCAUCUCCCCAAACUUGGACGAAGUAUUGCCUGUCCCUUUGUAGAAGUGGAGAUCUGUGGAGCCGAGUAUGACAACAACAAGUUCAAGACGACGGUUGUGAAUGAUAAUGGCCUCAGCCCUAUCUGGGCUCCAACACAGGAGAAGGUGACAUUUGAAAUUUAUGACCCAAAC